UACAGAGGUCUCAAGCGUUGUUCGGAUUCAUUGGGCGUAAAGGGUGCGUAGGCGGCGCGGUAAGUCGGGUGUGAAAUCUUGGAGCUUAACUCCGAAACUGCAUUCGAUACUGCCGUGCUUGAGGACUGGAGAGGAGACUGGAAUUUACGGUGUAGCGGUGAAAUGCGUAGAUAUCGUAAGGAAGGCCAGUGGCGAAGGCGGGUCUCUGGACAGUUCCUGACGCUGAGGCACGAAGGUCAGGGGGAGCAAACGGG
rnacentral:rRNA from 1 species